UACGUAGGUGGCAAGCGUUAUCCGGAUUUAUUGGGCGUAAAGCGAGCGCAGGCGGUUGCUUAGGUCUGAUGUGAAAGCCUUCGGCUUAACCGAAGAAGUGCAUCGGAAACCGGGCAACUUGAGUGCAGAAGAGGACAGUGGAACUCCACGUGUAGCAGUGAAAUGCGUAGAUAUGUGGAAGAACACCGAUGGCGAAGGCAGCCUCCUGGGACGCAACUGACGCUCAUACACGAAAGCGUGGGGAGCAAACAGG
rnacentral:rRNA from 1 species